GCCAAAUUAGCUCAGCUGGAUAGAGCAACUGUUUUGUAAACAGUAGGUCAACAGUUCAAGUCUGUUAUUUGGCU
rnacentral:tRNA from 1 species